UUUCGCAAUGCCCGAAAGGGUGACGAAGCGACGCCGCGUGCGGGAAGAAGGCCUUCGGGUUGUAAACCGCUGUCGGGAGUUAAGAAAUGUAAGGAUGUUAAUAGCAUCUUUGCUUGACUAAGGCUCCGGAGGAAGCCACGGCUAACUCUGUGCCAGCAGCCGCGGUAAUACAGAGGCGGCAAGCGUUGUUCGGAAUUAUUGGGCGUAAAGAGCACGUAGGCGGCUAUGUAAGUCGGUUGUGAAAGCCUUCCGCUCAACGGGAGAACAGCAUCCGAUACUGCAUGGCUUGAGUGCGGGAGGGGAGAGUGGAACUUCUGGUGGAGCGGUGGAAUGCGUAGAUAUCAGAAGGAACGCCGGCGGCGAAAGCGGCUCUCUGGCCCAUAACUGACGCUGAGUGUGCGAAAGCUAGGGGAGCAAACGGGAUUAGAUACCCCGGUAGUCCUAGCCGUAAACGAUGGGCACUAAGUAGAGGGGUUUUAAUCUC
rnacentral:rRNA from 1 species